rnacentral:rRNA from 1 species
UGGCGGCUGNUUUACACAUGCAAGUCUGAACUGUAACAGGGAGCUUGCUCCGCUGACGAGUGGCGAACGGGUGAGUAAUAUAUCGGAACGUACCCAAGAGUGGGGGAUAACGUAGCGAAAGUUACGCUAAUACCGCAUACGAUCCAAGGAUGAAAGCAGGGGACCGCAAGGCCUUGUGCUCCUGGAGCGGCCGAUAUCUGAUUAGCUAGUUGGUAGGGUAAAGGCCUACCAAGGCAUCGAUCAGUAGCUGGUCUGAGAGGACGACCAGCCACACUGGAACUGAGACACGGUCCAGACUCCUACGGGAGGCAGCAGUGGGGAAUUUUGGACAAUGGGCGCAAGCCUGAUCCAGCAAUGCCGCGUGAGUGAAGAAGGCCUUCGGGUUGUAAAGCUCUUUUGUCAGGGAAGAAACGGGUGCGGCUAAUAUCUGCAUCUAAUGACGGUACCUGAAGAAUAAGCACCGGCUAACUACGUGCCAGCAGCCGCGGUAAUACGUAGGGUGCAAGCGUUAAUCGGAAUUACUGGGCGUAAAGCGUGCGCAGGCGGUUUUGUAAGUCUGUUGUGAAAUCCCCGGGCUUAACCUGGGAAUGGCAAUGGAGACUGCAAGGCUAGAGUUUGGCAGAGGGGGGUAGAAUUCCACGUGUAGCAGUGAAAUGCGUAGAGAUGUGGAGGAACACCGAUGGCGAAGGCAGCCCCCUGGGUCAAGACUGACGCUCAUGCACGAAAGCGUGGGGAGCAAACAGGAUUAGAUACCCUGGUAGUCCACGCCCUAAACGAUGUCUACUAGUUGUCGGGUCUUAAUUGACUUGGUAACGCAGCUAACGCGUGAAGUAGACCGCCUGGGGAGUACGGUCGCAAGAUUAAAACUCAAAGGAAUUGACGGGGACCCGCACAAGCGGUGGAUGAUGUGGAUUAAUUCGAUGCAACGCGAAAAACCUUACCUACCCUUGACAUGUACGGAAG